GUGAACAUCAAAAGUUUUAGCAAUUAUUUAAUAAUUUAAACUAAUUUAAAAAUAAAUAAUUUUGUUUUAAUUGAUUAAUAAAACCAUUGUCAACAUAAUUUGUAACAAUUUCAUGCUGAUUAUUAAACAUUUUGAGAGCAAAUCGUCAUCUCAAGGUCGUCGGAGCUAAGAAUGCAAAAUAAUCCAAACGGCAACCGCUGUUUGUGUGUAAACAUGGCGUUAUACUACACAAACGGUGUCCGUAAAAAACUGGAAAAAUUGAGGUUGAAAAAAAUGACGAAAGUCGUGAUGCCAGUGGUCAAAAAAUAAUGUUAGCAGGUACUGAUGUCAUUUAUUAAACACAGUCAUUAGCACUAGGAGUCCAAGACUAAAAGUAAAAAAAAUAAUUACAAUGGUGUGUCAUUGGAGCCAAAACCAUCUGAAAAACAUAAAUGAUUCGUGAAUCUAUUCAGUGUCAAAGACUUCGUCAACAGUGUGACACAAAAUUAAUUAUCAGUGAUGAAAAAAAUUGAAGAAGAGUACUGCUCCAAUUGUAACUGAAACAACUGCGACAUGAUUUUAAUAAAAAAAUAAACCAGGAUAAUGCUGAUGAUGCUGAAGGUGUAUAAUGAGAUGGCAUGUGAAUAUUCGACUUGCUAGUGAUGGAAUCAUUGUAGACAACGUGGUGAUAAUUUCAACAGCUACGUGGAAUGAUGGCAUGUGAAUAUUCAACUUGCUGGUGAUGGAAUCAUUGUAGACAACGUGGUAACCAUUUCAACAGCUUCGUGGGAUGAUGAACAUCCGCUAAAAAGAUGGAAUUGCAUAAUUGUUGCAGCAUCAACUGCAGUAAGGAUGAUAUGGAUUUCAAUGAGAGCAGCAGCAGAUGACAUCAAUCAAGAAAUCCCAUCAUCAACUACAGUAAGGGUGAGUUUACCAAUUUUUUUAUUUAUUUUCAUAACCAAAGUCUUUUUUUAUCUUUACUAAAUAUGCUUUCUGUCAAAUUUUUAAAUCAUAAAUAACCGUUUAAUUGUAUAACUAUAUCUGGAACGACAUUGAUAAUCGUAAUAUCGAUUGAGCUCAAUUUUCAACUCUCAACUGAGAUUGAGGGUCGACGAUCGACAUGACUUCCCACUUGGGUCAUUGAAUAUUGAUGUUAUUUAUAUAAUUAUAAUUAAUAAAAAAAAAGUUGAAAGAUCAUUUUUUAAUAAUUAAAUUAAUGAGGCAAUUAUUAAAGUAAGCUAUGAUAAAUUUUCAAAAAAAUAUUACAACAAAAUUUAAAGUUGAAUAAUUUUUUUGUUAAAAUAUUGUUGGGUAAUAGAUAAUAAUGUACGGACAAUAGAUGUUUUUUUUUAUUCCAAAUAAUAUAUAGCAAAACAUCAGUGAUAAAAAAUGAUAAAAACUUUGUGAAAAUUUUGUUUACUUAGCCGUCUGUUUUGUUUGAAUAUUUUUAAGUAAAAAAAAAAAAAGCUCAAAAAAGUCCGAGGGUUUGUAGGUGGUGCAGAACAGGCGAUAGGAAGUUAGUAAAUUAUAAGAUGAGUGGGGAGGUGUAAAAAAGUUCCCUUAGCUUAGCAGUCACAACUGGGGCGGCCAUUUUCCCCGAGUUCUUAAUAUUUCCAUGAUGGCGGCUGGCUAAGCGUUGGUAGAGACUGAGUGCGAAAGUGGGCAAUGUGGAAGUGGUGAAGGGGGAAAUACUGUUUCAUGGUAGUAAAAUGAAAUGGGGGGUUUUGAAAAUAACAAAAGAUAAAGAAGAAGAAGAAGAAGAACAAGAAGAAGAAGGAAGAGAAAAGGGGUUGAAAUUAGAAAAGGAAAGAUUUAAAUAUCAGUUCCCGAGGGGCGGACCAAGCUCGUUCGCUUUUACAUUCCCACCCUUGGUCGUUUGUCCUUCACACUCUUCUUGAAAGAAAACGAGAGAAAAUUUCUCGCGCAGUUUUCCAACAAGCCCCGGUCACAUGCAUACACAAGAGCCAGGCAAAGCGGUGACUUUCACGACGUAAUAUCGAUUCGUUUUUUGCUAGAGAAAUAAAAGUUAGGGUUCCUUCUUACUUUGCAUAUAUUUUAUUUCAUUUAUUUUAUUUUGUCUCGAGACAAUUUCUUGAAUAUAUAGCUUGAAUUUAUUAUAAAUAUAUAUUCACCCAAAACAAAGAAACUUUGUUGAAAAUAAAUUCAUUUAAAUAUAUAUUUUUAUAUUAUUUUUCAAUAAAUUUAGUCGUUUAUGAAUAUAAGAGGAUUUCAAGUUUGCUUUGAACUCUGUAAAAAAAAAAAAAAAAAAAGAUACACCCUUCAUAUUUCUAGUAUAUAUAUAACCAUACCUGAAUAAUAUGUUAUUAUCUUUUUCUCACUUUAUUCUACGUAUAUAAUAAUUUUUUUAUUCUUUUUUUUCUUGGUUGUGCUUUACAAGCUUGAAUUUUUUUUUAGUCGUUCAGACAGCUCGAGAAAGUUUCCCCUCGUUUAUUUCACCCUACUAUCUACUUCUUUUGCCCAGUUCUUAUGUGCUUCA